AAUAUUCCGCAAUGGGCGCAAGCCUGACGGAGCAAUGCCGAGUGCAGGAUGAAGCGGCUUCGCCGUGUAAACUGCUGUCAGGGGUCAGAAACACUGAUCGACCCCAGAGGAAGAGGCGGCUAACUCUGUGCCAGCAGCCGCGGUAAGACAGAGGCCUUAAGCGUUAAUCGGAAUCACUGGGCUUAAAGGGUGCGCAGGCGGCUCGGAAAGUGUCCCGUGAAAUCCCACGGCUCAACCGUGGAACUGCGGGGCAAACUACCGGGCUUGAGGAAGGUAGAGGCGGGUGGAACGAUAGGUGGAGCGGUGGAAUGCGUAGAUAUCGGGAGGAACAUCGGUGGCGAAGGCGGUUUACUGGACCAUAACUGACGCUGAGACACGAAAGCGUGGGGAGCAAACAGG
rnacentral:rRNA from 1 species